GACGAACGCUGGCGGCGUGCCUAAUACAUGCAAGUCGAACGAGAGCGACCGGUGCUUGCACUGGUCAAUCUAGUGGCGAACGGGUGAGUAACACGUGGGUAACCUGCCCAUCAGAGGGGGAUAACAUCCGGAAACGGAUGCUAAAACCGCAUAGGUCUUCGAACCGCAUGGUUUGAAGAGGAAAAGAGGCGCAAGCUUCUGCUGAUGGAUGGACCCGCGGUGCAUUAGCUAGUUGGUGAGGUAACGGCUCACCAAGGCCGUGAUGCAUAGCCGACCUGAGAGGGUGAUCGGCCACAUUGGGACUGAGACACGGCCCAAACUCCUACGGGAGGCAGCAGUAGGGAAUCUUCCGCAAUGGACGCAAGUCUGACGGAGCAACGCCGCGUGAGUGAAGAAGGUUUUCGGAUCGUAAAACUCUGUUGUUAGAGAAGAACAAGUGCUAGAGUAACUGUUAGCGCCUUGACGGUAUCUAACCAGAAAGCCACAGCUAACUACGUG
rnacentral:rRNA from 1 species